AGACAUCUCCCAGCACAUUGCUGUGGAAAAGCUGUUGUUCUGACUCAAAAUCACAGCUGGCAGCUGUUACUUGACUACACAUUUUUCCUCUGUACAAUAUGAGGUUUGGGACCAGUCAUUACUCUGUACUAAAGUUGAUUUUGUGUGAUUAUGUGCAUUUUUUUUUUCAGUGGUAAAAGUAGAAGUGGGAAUGUUUUAAAAUUGGUGCUAUUUUAACCCCAAGGAUAAUAAAAAGGAACAGGAUUCCUGAUCUUAAUCAUUCUAAACACUUUUUUUAUUUUCUUUUUUCUUCUUCUCAUUUUAGAUGAGUUUAAAAGCCUGAACCCUUGGAAUUUUUUAGUGGCAGUAUGAUCCCUCUGCUUCAUUACUUGUAACCCCCUCUCAGGAGAAGCGGUGCUAACCCACCAGAGUGCCCAGACUGUAAAGCGCAGACUACUUAAUUAACAGAAAGGAAAAGAUCUGAAGAAUUGAGAAACAUUGUCCCCAGAUACUCUAAAGCAGAUGCAUAGAGAACCUUGGGCACAGAUUCAGUUAUGCAAAAAGUGAUACUUUGAAAAUGUUGUCAAGAGACGUCGUAAGCUGGUAGGACCAAUAAAAAGAAGUUCAUGUUCAGUAACUGCUAAGGCAGAGAUCAUUUCUACAAGCCAGAUUCACACUUGGCAGCACAGCAGCAGGACUCAGGCUGUGUUGGUGCUGUGGUAUCUGUGUCUCAUGCACUCGAGGAAUUUCCAUAGCAUUUAUCCCUGCUGGUGCUCAGCGUCUGUGCCUGGGACAGGAUGGAGUUGUGUUCACGGGAGAUUGAACAGUGCAUCCUCAAAGUUACUGCAAAGAGGCUUGGUGCUUCCUGGAACCAACCAUGAUCUCUCUGAAAGUAACACAUUUGGAUAGCAGAUCUUUCAGGCAAGGAUUGUCCCUCAGUUACGCUUGUUCAGUGUCCAGCUUCAAGAGGCAGGUGUGAAUUUCCAUUCACUGAGAUACAGCUGUGCAGUUAAUGAUUGGUGUUGGGCUAUCUAACUAAAAUGGUUUCAGCUUAAUAAAAAUAAAUUUAAUAUAUUAAUAUAAUAAAUA
rnacentral:lncRNA from 1 species